UCUCAUUAAGAGUGGUUGAGGGAUCUGGCCCGAUGACACCACGGCAACCGGUUGGCCCGCGAAGCCAAUGACAAGGUGCCAAUUCCAGCCCGGUAAGUCGCCGGGAAAAAUG
rnacentral:ncRNA from 1 species